rnacentral:tRNA from 1 species
GGGGGCGUAGCUCAGUUGGUUAGAGCGUCUGCCUGUCACGCAGAAGGUCGUGGGUUCGAGCCCCAUCGUCCCCG